GGAAAACUAAUGACCGAAAUCUUUCAUUUUCCUUCUGAAUGUUUGGAUGUGAGUGCUAAUUUAUGAUUUAUCCACUGAUCUUGUUUUGUAUUUGUUAAUGAUGGAUUUGGAAUCCCCUUCCACUAUUACUUUUGUUAAACCCAACUCAAUCCUCGUGAGCAUGACUUCGAGAUAGGCGAGGGCUUCUACAUCAAAGGCCGUGUCAACCGCCGUGUGCAGACGAUAUUUAGAGACCAGAACUUCUCAUUUCACGUUUCGUGCCGCUAUUCCCGAAGCCAACUUAAAACCUUG
rnacentral:lncRNA from 1 species